GAAGAUGAAGAAGACGAGCUAAACGUAUAAUUUUUAGAAAAAUUCUAGACAACAAUCGGUUGGUUCUCUAGAACAAUCGAUUGGUUAACUUGUUACACUAUAAUUUUUGGGACAGAAAGCUUGGACCAAUCGAUUGGUUCAAACAUGUAAUCGAUUGGUUCCUUUUAAAUUUGGGAUUUUUUUUUGCCAGAAUGCAGGGAACAAUGGAUUGGUUACUUAGAGUA
rnacentral:lncRNA from 1 species